GCCUAGCCCUGAACACAGAUAGUAUAAACACAAUACUCUCCGCCAGAGAACUACGAGCGAAAAGCUUAAAACUCCAAGGACUUGGCGGUGCUUCAAACCAACCUAGAGGAGCCUGUCCUAUAAUCGAUACUCCACGUUUUACCUCACCCCCCCUAGAAAACCAGCCUAUAUACCGCCGUCGCAAGCCUACCUUGUGAAAGAAACAAAGUGAGCAAAAUAGUUAACAACUAAUACGUCAGGUCAAGGUGUAGCACACGGGGCGGCAGAGAUGGGCUACAUUUUUUCCAAAGAAAAUACACGAAAAGCACGCUGAAACACGUGCCAAAAGGUGGAUUUAGUAGUAAAACAAACAAGAGAAGCUGUUUUAAACCUGCUCUGAAGCGCGCACACACCGCCCG
rnacentral:rRNA from 1 species